AGAGUUUGAUCAUGGCUCAGAGUGAACGCUGGCGGUAGGCCUAACACAUGCAAGUCGAACGGCAGCACAGGAGAGCUUGCUCUCUGGGUGGCGAGUGGCGGACGGGUGAGGAAUACAUCGGAAUCUACCUUUUCGUGGGGGAUAACGUAGGGAAACUUACGCUAAUACCGCAUACGACCUACGGGUGAAAGUGGGGGACCGCAAGGCCUCACGCGAUUAGAUGAGCCGAUGUCCGAUUAGCUAGUUGGCGGGGUAAUGGCCCACUAAGGCGACGAUCGGUAGCUGGUCUGAGAGGAUGAUCAGCCACACUGGAACUGAGACACGGUCCAGACUCCUACGGGAGGCAGCAGUGGGGAAUAUUGGACAAUGGGCGCAAGCCUGAUCCAGCCAUACCGCGUGGGUGAAGAAGGCCUUCGGGUUGUAAAGCCCUUUUGUUGGGAAAGAAAUCCUGUCGAUUAAUACUCGGUGGGGAUGACGGUACCCAAAGAAUAAGCACCGGCUAACUUCGUGCCAGCAGCCGCGGUAAUA
rnacentral:rRNA from 1 species